rnacentral:lncRNA from 1 species
AGAAGGAGUGUGACACAGGCCAGUGGAGCGAGUGGAGCCAGCCUGUGUGCUUCCAGGCUCCCCAGAGACAAGGAACAGUAAGAGGACCUUGUGCAUGAAUAAUUUGUUUCCACACUACAGACAGAAGAAUCCCAGACUUCUUAGAGAACCCAGUGACUUUUUGCACCUUAAAUCUGUGAAAUCCUCAUGUUUUCUUCUGCCGUAUCCAUAGUUCAAACAAAGAUGAGGCAAAGCUAGAUGCAUUCCUGAAGGAACCCAAGAAAUUCCUCUCUUUAUUUCUCUGGAAUGAAAUGAAUUCUCUAGACCACCAGUUCUAACCUUCAAAAACCAAACCUGUUUGUGAGAUCUCCUUCAAAUACUACUGUAGACCCCAGUGUUUAUUCAUUAAAUUUUUAAAAUAUUUGUUUU